UGUCUAGUCAUCUGAGGCUACACUGAUGACACAGAGUUUCUUCAACUACAAGGGUGAGGGUCAGCAUGUGCUAACAGAGAUUUCAUGUAAACAAGGCCCCCCUGUAAUGUUUUCUAUGAAAUCUGUAAGAAGGCUUAGAGCUACAUCUUACUCUUUCACUGAUUAAAGCAUACAGAUUUGUGCUGCUACGACCUGACACCUGCCUUUCUAUACUGCACUGAAAUUCCCUGAAGCCCUAGUGUGGGACACACGUGGAAUCCACGUGGGACAGACACAUAUGGACUUGGAUGUGUGAAAAGAUGGAGCAAUAGCUUCCUGAUCUUCCAGUGAUCACAAUGCAGUGCUCUUUCCUGCCUCCUUGUGAAGAAGGAUGUUUUUGCUUCCUCUUCCACCAUGACUCCAGGAAUGAUGAAUGCUGACACUCAUUGCUGAGUCUUUUUAGCAUGAAGGAAAUCCACUAGUGUGCUUUUGCUGACGGCCCCCCAUUGGAGUGCUUUGGCUGGUACUUCUGUUGCUACACCAGAAAGCUUCUGCAAGAGGAUCCCACUGCCCAGCCACAGUGCUUUUGCAGGGGGCCCCCAAUGUCCCACCAGAGUGCUUUUGCUGAUGGCCCCUCAUAGGGGUACUUUUGCUGGCAUUUCUGCUGCCCCGCCAGAGUGCUUUCAAUAGAUUCCACAUCACUCCACCAAAGUGCUUUAAUCAGAGGUUCCUGCUGCUCCAUAGGAAUGCUUUUGUCAGCAGCCCGACAUAGAAAUUUUGCCAAUAGCCUGGGAGCACCUUGGUCCCUCCAUUGCAGCUUAUACUUGACAUCUAUAGGCCAGAGGACAAACCCAUAUACCUGGUCCCAGCCCCUCAGAGUUAGAUCACACAGCUCAGGAGUGUCAAACUGAGCAUUGGUCCUCUGAAAGCAUCCAGAAAUGAAGACAACCGGCUAUAUCCAAAUUACACCAUAGUUGAACCAUCAAAAGAAAUAAAGGACAUAAAAACAGAAAGCCUCAUCCAAAGGACAGCAACUUUGAAGGAUAAAGAAACACCAGAUUUCACAGAUUAGAAAGAACCAGCGUAAGAACUCUGGCAACUCUAAAAUCCAGAGUGUCAUCUUACCCUCAAAUGAUCACACCAACUCCCCAGCAAUGGUUCAAAACCAGAUGGAAAUGGCUGAAAUGACAGACACUGAAUUCAGAAUCAGGAUGGCAAGGAAGCUCAAUGAGAUACAGGAGGAGGUUGAAACCCAACCCAUGGAAAACAGUAAAAUGUCAUGGAAAACAGUAAAAUGAUCCAAUUGAAAGACAACAUAGCCAUUUUAAGAAAGAACCAUUUAAGAAAGAAGCUCAAUGAGAUACAGGAGGAGGUUGAAAUCCAACCCAUGGAAAACAGUAAAGAUCCAAGAACUGAAAAACAACAUAGCCAUUUUAAGAAAGAACCAAACUGAACUUGUGGAAUUGAAAAAUUCCCUACAGGAAUUUCAUAAUACAAUUGGAAGCACUGACAAUGGAAUUGACCAAGCUGAAGAAAGAAUUUCAGAGUUUGAAGACAGCUCCUUCAAAUCAAUGCAGGCAGACAAAAAUAAAGAAAAAAGAACUUAAAAAAACUAACAAAACCUCUGAGAAAUACAAGAUUAUCUAAGGAGACCAAACCUAUCACUCACUGACAUUCCUAAAAGAGAAACAAAGAGAAGGUGAGAGAGUAAGAAACUUGAAAAUCAUACUAAGGAUACAGUGGAUGAAAAUUUCCCCAAUUUCACUAGAGAGGUUGACAUGCAACUUGAACAAACUCAACAAGCUCCUGUGAGAUACUAUGCAAGAUGUCCAUCCCCAAGACACAUAGUCAUCAGAUUCUCCAAGGUCAACAUGAAAGACGAACAUCUUACAGUCACCUAGACAGAAGUGAUAGACCACUUUCAAAGGCUUACAGCAUACUUCUCAACAGAAACCUUACAAGCCAAAAGAGAUCAGGCCUUAUUUUCUGCAUCCUAAGGGAAAAGAAAGUCCAACCAAGAAUCUUAAUAUUCUGCUAAACUAAGCUUCAUAAGAAAAGGAGAAAUAAAAUCCAUUUUGGACAAGCAAACUCUAAGAGAAUUUAUUACUGCUACACCUGCCUUAAAAGAGCUUCUUAGUGUGUUUAUGUGGUGAAAUGUUUCCUUUGCUUCCCUGUUUAACACUCCCCUAAGAACAUAGCCCACAGAUACUAUAAAGA